rnacentral:sRNA from 1 species
GCGGAUCGUGCCGUAGAGCCCGUUGUUGAAGAGCACAAUAA